rnacentral:lncRNA from 1 species
CGGACACGCGGGGCCUCGUGGCCAAACCCCUCGAGCUGCAGGUCCGAGCACACCGCGCUCCCCAGCCCUGGGCUCGCAGUCCGGGGCCGUGGCUCCUCGCGCUGCCGUGCUGCUCGGGGCCAGCUCGGCACGGAAGGCUCCCAGAAAAAAAACCCCUUGGUCAAAGGGUAAAACUGCUUGGAGAAUGAGAGCCGCGGGGUCAGGCGGCAGCAGGGCCCCGGGGAUAAAGCCCUGAUUAGUAUUCCCGGAGCUAAGAAAUGCACCUCCGUUUAGCAGCUUGAGUAAAUACAGUGCCUUAAUAUUGUGUGUUAAUAGACUCGCUUUUUCAGCUACUGACGACUGUAGUUUCAGAAAAUUUAUUGUUGCUAUAAAGCGGCUCUCUCUCUCUCUCCCUUCUCUCUCUCUUUUGCUAAUUGACAAAGGGGCCCAGUAAUUAAAGGACAAUAAAAGUUUUCCAGUAAUUAGUUUCUGUUGUUUGGUUACAGGCCAUCAAUUGUUCUUUAAUAAUACCAAUCGUUAGCAUGCAGUAGUCAGUGGGCUCUCAAAGGCUUCUGGGGCACCACCACUUACCACCACUACACAUUCCAUUCCCAUGAGGACAUCCUGCCUCCAGCUCCGCGUUAACCCUCUCCUAGGACGCAGUCCUCCUGCCCGGCUGCGUGUUUUGGGGUAAACACCUCUCAUCACUCGUGGCUAGAAGGCAGCAAUUAGGGCUCAGCCCAUGGGACCUUGGAUCAGGAGAUGCCUUGGGAGAGCUGCCCACGUGUCCCAGAGUGGUCAGACGCCAUCGGGAUUGGGCAGGGGGAAGAGGAUGAAGACGGCACACACAGCAGGACGUGGCUUGCCAAGGGCUUGGGCCACUGGGUCCUGCAGACACCUUAUUUCUUCUUCUCUAGUGAAGACAAACCUCUCAGCAAAGCCCAUCUCAUGUGCUGAUGCUAAAACAUUCAUCCAUGCAGUGCUUUGCGAAGAGUCUGCCUGCGGGUCGCCUCAGUCCCAGCCUCAGCAGACACCUCCUGUAAACCAUUGCAUGAUCUUCAAAGAGGCCUACAAGGGUCCCAAGGAACACGGAUUGGUUUCACCCAUCAGGACAAGGACUGCUUGGAUGCCCUACAAACCAAAGCCAGCCCAGGACGCCCACCAGCAGGAUCUGUGCUCUCCUGCCAUGCCCGUGCCACCCUGCAGCCGGUGUCCAAAGGGCAUGCUCUGCUUCCCAGCCUCACCCAAGUCAAACUUCAGCCAAGACCUAAAUAAAAUUUAAAAGUGUCAGACAACUCCUGGCAGCACUUCAGCGUAGGGAACAAGGAGCGAGCCAGCAUGAAGUUUGGGAAGAGCGCUAUGUGCGAGUAAUAAAAGCGAAUAACUACUGAAAUUCA